GACAGAGGGGGCAAGCGUUGCUCGGAAUUAUUGGGCGUAAAGAGCUCGUAGGCGGCUUGUCGCGUCGGCUGUGAAAACCUGGGGCUCAACCCCGGGCCUGCAGCCGAUACGGGCAAGCUAGAAUUCGGUAGGGGAGACUGGAAUUCCUGGUGUAGCGGUGAAAUGCGCAGAUAUCAGGAGGAACACUGGUGGCGAAGGCGGGUCUCUGGGCCGAUAUUGACGCUGAGGAGCGAAAGCGUGGGGAGCGAACAGG
rnacentral:rRNA from 1 species